rnacentral:pre_miRNA from 1 species
AGGGCGGUUACUCUGUUCUGCUUGUUUGAACUUUACCCUCAUGAGACAGUGUGUCCUCCCUUG